ensembl:snRNA U6 U6 spliceosomal RNA
GUGCUAGCUUUAACAGCAUAUAUACUGAAAUUGGAAUGAUACAGAAAAAAUUAGCAUAGCCCCUGCACCGGGAUGGCACGCACAUUCAUGAAGCAUUCCAUAUUUUU